rnacentral:rRNA from 1 species
CAGCAGCCGCGGGAAUACGAAGGGGGCUAGCGUUGCUCGGAAUGACUGGGCGUAAAGGGCGCGUAGGCGGAGAGCUUUGUCGGACGUGAAAUUCCAGGGCUUAACCUUGGGGCUGCGUUCGAGACGGGUUUUCUUGAGUUCGGAAGAGGGUCGUGGAAUUCCCAGUGUAGAGGUGAAAUUCGUAGAUAUUGGGAAGAACACCGGUGGCGAAGGCGGCGACCUGGUCCGUGACUGACGCUGAGGCGCGAAAGCGUGGGGAGCAAACAGGAUUAGAUACCCCUGUAGUCCCUGUCUCUUAUAC